rnacentral:rRNA from 1 species
CCUACGGGAGGCAGCAGUGGGGAAUAUUGCACAAUGGGGGAAACCCUGAUGCAGCGACGCCGCGUGAGUGAUGAAGUAUUUCGGUAUGUAAAGCUCUAUCAGCAGGGAAGAUAAUGACGGUACCUGACUAAGAAGAUCCGGCUAAAUCCGUGCCAGCAACCGCGGUACUACGUAUGGAGAAAGCGUAAUCGGGAUUUACGGGGUGUAACGGGGGGGCAGACGGCGGGGCAAGUCUGAUGUGAAAGUCCGGGGCUCAACCCCGGGACUGCAUUGGAAACUGUCCGGCUAGAGUGCAGGAGAGGUAAGUGGAAUUCCUAGUGUAGCGGUGAAAUGCGUAGAUAUUGGGAGGAACACCAGUGGCGAAGGCGGCUUACUGGACUGUAACUGACGUUGAGGCUCGAAGGCGUGGGGAGCAAACAGGAUUAGAUACCCGGGUAGUC